UACGGAAGGCAGCAGUGGGGAAUAUUGCACAAUGGGCGCAAGCCUGAUGCAGCCAUGCCGCGUGUAUGAAGAAGGCCUUCGGGUUGUAAAGUACUUUCAGUCGUGAGGAAGGUGUUAAGGUUAAUAACCUUAGCAAUUGACGUUAGCGGCAGAAGAAGCACCGGCUAACUCCGUGCCAGCAGCCGCGGUAAUACGGAGGGUGCGAGCGUUAAUCGGAAUUACUGGGCGUAAAGGGCACGCAGGCGGUUAAUUAAGUUGGAUGUGAAAUCCCCGGGCUUAACCUGGGAAUGGCAUUCAAGACUGGUUAGCUAGAGUCUUGUAGAGGGGGUAGAAUUCCAUGUGUAGCGGUGAAAUGCGUAGAGAUGUGGAGGAAUACCGGUGGCGAGGCGGCCCCUGGACAAAGACUGACGCUCAUGUGCGAAGCGUGGGGAGCGAAACAGGGAUUAGAUACC
rnacentral:rRNA from 1 species